UGGAGGCAGCAGUGAGGAAUUUUGGGCAAUGGGCGAAAGCCUGACCCAGCAACGCCGCGUGAAGGAUGAAGUAUUUCGGUAUGUAAACUUCGUAAGAAUAGGAAGAAUAAAUGACGGUACUAUUUGUAAGGUCCGGCUAACUACGUGCCAGCAGCCGCGGUAAUACGUAGGGACCAAGCGUUGUUCGGAUUUACUGGGCGUAAAGGGUGCGUAGGCGGCGUGGUAAGUCACUUGUGAAAUCUCCGAGCUUAACUCGGAACGGUCAAGUGAUACUGCUGUGCUAGAGUACAGAAGGGGCAAUCGGAAUUCUUGGUGUAGCGGUGAAAUGCGUAGAUAUCAAGAGGAACACCUGAGGUGAAGACGGGUUGCUGGGCUGAUACUGACGCUGAGUCACGAAAGCUAGGGUAGCAAACGGGAUUAGAUACCCCGGUA
rnacentral:rRNA from 1 species